UACCUCAUCAAACUGACGCCCUCUGUGCAGAGUUCCUGCAUGUGAAAUAUUGAGUAUGGGCUUAUGGACCACAAAGUCUCCAAUGCCCCAUUACUUUGGCUAUGGUAGUUGAAGAAACAUAGAAAUAAUAGGAACUCCUGGGUGUGUGUGUUUCCAAGGUUCCAAUGUGGAAAGAUCCAUAUCUACAGUUUUCUACCAAUGCAAUCCCAGAAAAAGGGUCUGUCCACCCUAAAGGGGUCCCGACCCACAGGUUGAGAACCACUGCUGUAGGCCUUCUUUGAGUCACCUGUCUUGUUUGCACUUUCAACUUGGUCCUGCCUACACUCCUGCUGUGACAUCUGGUUGUGCAACCCCAGGACCUGGAAGGAGUGAAAGCUUAGCUCCAUCCCACCUGAUGAGGAAUGAAAUUUUAAUAGGACCUGAGUCACUCAUCUUCUGAAAGUGGAAAAAUAACCCCACAAGGAUGAACUAUUGGAAAAACAACAAAAUGUAAGAAGAUGUUCUUUGGAGGGAAUUAUAACACAGUAAAAACUUACAGGGCUAGGCUAGGGGGGUAGCUCAGUGGGUAAAUUACCUGUCACCCAAACAUGAGUACCUGACCCCAAGAACCCACAAAAAAGUACUGAGCACGGCAAUAGUGGGGAAAUGGGCAGGAGUGCUAUCCCUGGGGCUCAUGGGCCAGCUAGCCCAGGCAUCAUCAGUGGAGGUCCAAGUACAGCUUUGUGGAGUCUGAUCUCUCCUUCCUUUGUUGUGUAAGUUCCAGGGAUCAAACUUCAGUUGCCAGGCUUACUUGACAACCACCUGCACCUGCUGAGCCAUCUCCCAGGCACAUCCAUUGCAUGGCAGACACUGUUAGGUGGGCAGGGAGGGUUGUAGUGCUCAGCUUACAAAGCUCGCUAACAGUGCUCAGUAUCUGUCAUUGGUACCCUGACUGUAUGACAAACCUGAAUUGCUAAAGAGUUUCCCUAGAGAGCUCCCCAAGGGUGGAAAUGGAA